GAUGAACGCUGGCGGCGUGCUUAACACAUGCAAGUCGAACGGAAAGGCCCAAGCUUGCUUGGGUGCUCGAGUGGCGAACGGGUGAGUAACACGUGGGUGAUCUGCCCUGCACUUCGGGAUAAGCCUGGGAAACUGGGUCUAAUACCGGAUAGGACCACAUUUUGGAUGGUGUGGUGGAAAGUUUUUCGGUGUGGGAUGAGCUCGCGGCCUAUCAGCUUGUUGGUGGGGUAAUGGCCUACCAAGGCGUCGACGGGUAGCCGGCCUGAGAGGGUGUACGGCCACAUUGGGACUGAGAGACGGCCCAGACGCCUACGGGAGGCAGCAGUGGGGAAUAUUGCACAAUGGGCGCAAGCCUGAUGCAGCGACGCCGCGGGGGGGAGGACGGCCUUCGGGUUGUAAACUCCUUUCGCUAGGGACGAAGCGUUAUGUGACGGUACCUGGAGAAGAAGCACCGGCUAACUACGUG
rnacentral:rRNA from 1 species